rnacentral:rRNA from 1 species
UACGAGGGGGCAAGCGUUGUUCGGAAUUAUUGGGCGUAAAGGGCGCGUAGGCGGUGCGGUAAGUCUGAUGUGAAAUCUCCGGGCUCAACUCGGAGUCUGCAUCAGAAACUGCCGUGCUUGAGUGUGGGAGAGGUGAGUGGAAUUCCCGGUGUAGCGGUGAAAUGCGUAGAUAUCUGGAAGAACACCGGUGGCGCAAGCGGCUUGCUGGGCUGUAACUGACACUGAGGAACGAAAGCUAGGGUAGCGAAGUGGG